rnacentral:rRNA from 1 species
AUUGAACGCUGGCGGCAUGCCUUACACAUGCAAGUCGAACGGUAACAGGUUAAGCUGACGAGUGGCGAACGGGUGAGUAAUAUAUCGGAACGUGCCCAGUCGUGGGGGAUAACGCAGCGAAAGCUGUGCUAAUACCGCAUACGAUCUAUGGAUGAAAGCGGGGGAUCGCAAGACCUCGCGCGAUUGGAGCGGCCGAUAUCAGAUUAGCUAGCUGGUGGGGUAAAGGCUCACCAAGCCGACGAUCUGUAGCUGGUCUGAGAGGACGACCAGCCACACUGGGACUGAGACACGGCCCAGACUCCUACGGGAGGCAGCAGUGGGGAAUUUUGGACAAUGGGCGCAAGCCUGAUCCAGCCAUUCCGCGUGCAGGAUGAAGGCCCUCGGGUUGUAAACUGCUUUUGUACGGAACGAAAAGGCUCUGGUUAAUACCUGGGGCUCAUGACGGUACCGUAAGAAUAAGCACCGGCUAACUACGUGCCAGCCGCCGCCGUAA